UGGGGAAUAUUGCACAAUGGGGGAAACCCUGAUGCAGCGACGCCGCGUGAGCGAAGAAGUAUUUCGGUAUGUAAAGCUCUAUCAGCAGGGGAGAUAAUGACGGUACCUGACUAAGAAGCCCCGGCUAACUACGUGCCAGCAGCCGCGGUAAUACGUAGGGGGCAAGCGUUAUCCGGAUUUACUGGGUGUAAAGGGAGCGUAGACGGCAAGGCAAGUCUGAUGUGAAAACCCAGGGCUUAACUCUGGGACUGCAUUGGAAACUGUCUGGCUCGAGUGCCGGAGAGGUAAGCGGAAUUCCUAGUGUAGCGGUGAAAUGCGUAGAUAUUAGGAAGAACACCAGUGGCGAAGGCGGCUUACUGGACGGUAACUGACGUUGAGGCUCGAAAGCGUGGGGAGCAAACAGG
rnacentral:rRNA from 1 species